UACAGAGGUCUCAAGCGUUGUUCGGAUUCAUUGGGCGUAAAGGGUGCGUAGGUGGCGUGGUAAGUCGGGUGUGAAAUCUCGGAGCUUAACUCCGAAACUGCAUUCGAUACUGCCGUGCUUGAGGACUGGAGAGGAGACUGGAAUUUACGGUGUAGCGGUGAAAUGCGUAGAUAUCGUAAGGAAGACCAGUGGCGAAGGCGGGUCUCUGGACAGUUCCUGACGCUGAGGCACGAAGGCCAGGGGAGCAAACGGG
rnacentral:rRNA from 1 species